rnacentral:rRNA from 1 species
GACGAACGCUGGCGGCGUGCUUAACACAUGCAAGUCGAACGGAAAGGCCCUGCUUUUGUGGGGUGCUCGAGUGGCGAACGGGUGAGUAACACGUGAGUAACCUGCCCUUGACUUUGGGAUAACUUCAGGAAACUGGGGCUAAUACCGGAUAGGAGCUCCUGCUGCAUGGUGGGGGUUGGAAAGUUUCGGCGGUUGGGGAUGGACUCGCGGCUUAUCAGCUUGUUGGUGGGGUAGUGGCUUACCAAGGCUUUGACGGGUAGCCGGCCUGAGAGGGUGACCGGCCACAUUGGGACUGAGAUACGGCCCAGACUCCUACGGGAGGCAGCAGUGGGGAAUAUUGCACAAUGGGCGGAAGCCUGAUGCAGCAACGCCGCGUGCAGGAUGACGGCCUUCGGGUUGUAAACCGCUUUCGCCUGUGACGAAGCGUGAGUGACGGUAAUGGGUAAAGAAGCGCCGGCUAACUACGUG